rnacentral:rRNA from 1 species
GACGAACGCUGGCGGCGUGCUUAACACAUGCAAGUCGAACGGAAAGGCCCUGCUCUUGUGGGGUGCUCGAGUGGCGAACGGGUGAGAAGCACGUGAGUACCCUGCCCUUGACGGUGGGAUAACGUCAGGACACUGGGGCUAAUACCGGAUAGGAGCUCCUGCUGCAUGGUGGGCGUUGGAAAGUUUCGGCGGUUGGGGCUGGACUCGCGGCUUAUCAGCUUGUUGGUGGGGUAGUGGCUUACCAAGGCUUUGAAGGGUAGCCGACCUGGGGGGGGGACCGGCGACACUAGGACUGAGAUAAGACACAGACGCGAACGGGAGGCAGCAGUGGGGAAUAUUGUACAAUGGGCGGGAGCCUGCUGCAGCAACGCCGCGUGGGGGAUGAGGGCCUGCGGGUUGUGAACCGCUUUCGCCUGUGACGAAGAGUGAGUGACGGUAAUGGGAAAAGAAGCACCGGCUAACUACGUG